rnacentral:lncRNA from 1 species
GUUUUGUUAUUACAGUAGUGCAAGAUAUGGAGUUUGGCACAAAGAAAAAGUUCCCCCAAGCUACAAGAGUGGACCAAGGCUGAUCAUCUUUAUCAUGGGAGGUUGUUCCUAUGCUGAAAUGAGAACAGCAUACCAAGUGACACAGUCAUGUAAAAACUGGGAAGUUUUAAUAGGUUAGUAUUGGUUAUGUAAUACUAUGUGACACCAUUCUGUAAAUAUUAAAGGAAGGGCCAAAACUCUUGUACUGUUUUAAAAAGAGUUAUGAUGUACAAUAUUUGGGAAUCUAAGAAUUAUUUGGGAUAUCUAAGAAUUGACUUGCCCUUCUUACUUUUUCAUAUGAAAUUCUGAUUUAUGUUAAGGCACACAAAAAUUCCCUUCAAAAUACAGUAUCAUAAAAUCCAGUCUCAUGAUAUUGUUAUAACUGCAGUAUUUUUGAAUUUUUUGAAAUACUAAGGCUUUUCUACCUCAUGCAUAGAUUACUUUAGCUAUAUUUGGCAAAAAUUUUAGGAAUUUUGGUUCUCAAUGGUCUUCAACUUCGUACUUUAUUUGGCAUUUUUAACUUUUUGGGAUUUGAGCCUCACUGAUGGGUCUUUUGUAGACGAAACGCGCGUCUGGUGUAUAUACUUAAUUUAGUCCUGGUAUCCAUGAUGAGUUUAUUUAGUCGAUGAUCUUACAACCUUUCAACAUAAAAUUUGAUGAUUAUAUGUAAAGCAGUCAAUACAUUUCAAUGGGCGAACUCUUGUUGAAUGGCUUUUGCACCCAACUCAAAUCUUAAUUGACAAGAAUUGUCAGUUUUUUGGCCAAAAGGCGUUUUGGGUUUCUCAACCAAUAAAAACUUAACAGUAACAAAGCAGCCAAUAGUGCUGAGAGUGGUGUUAAAUACCAAUCAAUCAAUCUUUAUGAAAUAAUUUGUUUUCUUUUCUUUCUAGGUGCUACUCAUUUAUUAACACCUGAAGGUUUCUUGGAAGAUUUGAAAACUGUAAGCAACUGAUGAAAUGGCAUGGUAAACCAGACUGACAGGAACUGAUGCAACCAAAAACAUAUAUAGAUGUUGUAUAACUGUGUUGUUGAAGAUUGUUAUACAUUUCUAUAAGAUGGUGUUGUCUUUUGUCCUAGUGAUUAUGUAUUCAAGCUGCUUAUAGAUGUGAUUCUAAUGGAGAAAUAAAAUUAUUAAAGAAAAUUUUAUAACUUUUAUGUAUGUGAAAUAAGCUGAUUGUUAGCUUUUCCAUGCAUACCUUAGAAUUAUUUAACAAUUAUUAGAAUGAUUGUUCAAGCAUCAAAGUGGCUGUCUACAAAGUUUAUAGUUAUAAUAUAUGAUUGUUAGGUCGUAGCUUGUGUACUUUCUUAAAACAGGAAAUUCUUGAAAUCCUCUUGUUUUUUUUCAAAUUUUCAAAUUAUAGAAUUGAAUAUCAUAGAAACAGGAAUUUCCUUUAGAAUUAGUAUACAUGGAAUCAUUGGAAUUGGCAGUAUUUAAAUUCCACUGCAGAGGUAUCUAUCAUGUUUUUUUCUCUUCAUCAUGCUAAGGUAAUAUUUUUAUAUAUACGUUGGAGUUCAUCUUUAUUUAUUUGUUAUAAAUUUUGCAAAACCUUAGUCAGUCCAAGUGUUUACUCUUAAUCUAUUUCAUAUUGAUUCAAGUAAGUUAACCUAAGUUCUCUUUGAGCAUUUUUGUUUUCAAUAGCAAUCAAAUUUUGAAAGCUCUUGAUAGAAUUUAGAUUAAACUUACCAGUUUCAAGAAUGGUGGACUAGGCUUCUUAUGUUUUCAUGAUAAGAAGUGAGAAUUCUUAAUCAUUUCAAUUAUUCUGUGAUAUUAAACAUUCCUGUUGUUAAGAUACAUACACUUUAAAUCAGUAUGAAAAGUAUGAUACCUUUAUUUAGUACUAGUAUAUAUGAAGUAAUUAAGUUCUCUGGGUCAAAAAUUAUAAACUAUUGGCAGUAUCAGUUAUUAAUGUUCUUGACUGCCAGUUUUAAAUGUGCUUGGCAGUGUCACAUAUACAUUACUUUGCAGUGUCAAGUUUUAAUUUGCGUGGCAUGUCAGGAACUUGGUUCUUGGAAGUGUUAAGUAUGGAUAUUCUUGACAGUGUGAAGUUUAAACGUACUUUACAAUGUUGGGUACUCAUAACUUUAUUUAGCAGUGUCACAAAAAUGAAUGUUUUGCCAGUUUUAAAUAGUAGUGUUAUUGGCAGUGUAAAAUAAUGCAAUGUUCUUGGCAGUGGUGUCUAGGUGUACAAAUAGAUGUUCUUGGCACAAAUAUUAAUGUUCUCUACCAUGUCAAUAUUAAGGUUCUUUGUUAAUGAGCAAAUGAAUGAAAUUGUAAUUGCAUUGUUAUUCACAAUUUUUAUUUUUGUUAAAACGACAAAAAAUUAUAAUAAGGAUAAGGUCAAAUAUCUUGAUGUCAUGCAUUUAGUAGGCACUCUGAGCAUCAACGAUAGUUUGUAGUCUAUUUGAUUCAUAAAAUUGGUUCAGACAAUCUUGGUCUAUAUAUACUCUGGGUAGAUUGAGGAAAUUUUAAAACCUCAAAUUCCAAUCUGUUCUACAUGAUUUACAGCAUUUAAACAAUUGUCAAUUUAUUAGUCAUUUUUAAUAUUUGUUAAAUUUAGUAAUAAUGAUAUUGUAAAUAUUUAUAUAUAUGUAUUGAAUACUUUUGCAUUUUUUCUGGAUGAUAAAUAAACAUCAUGGUAUAUAAAACGACAUGGAUUUAUAACCAUGAAAUAAAUAAACAUCAUGGUAUAUAAAACGACAUGGAUUUAUAACCAUGAAAUAAAUAAAACUAAUAUGUGUAACAGUAUUUGAUUGCAUUCAUGAAAAACAGGAUUAAAACAAUCUUAUGUGAAUUGGAAGCCUAGAACAUAUUUAUAAAAAUGUGUCACCAAUUGAUUAAGAACGGCGUUUUACGUUUCCGCAUUUUGGCACUACGUUUCUGCAUUAAAAUUCCUACAUUUCUGCAUUUUUAUAGUACUUUUUCCGCAUUUUAAUUUUUAAUGUACAUCUCUUCUGUUUACCAGGAAAUCUUUUUUUUUUCUUUAUAUUCCGGACUUAGUCCAACAGUUUGUAUUAUAUACGCCACCAACUUUCAGCGAGAUGGAAUCUGCAGCUGCUUUUAUCUGCAUUAGGAAAUAAAUUACUCUUGCAGCAUUGUGCAUGUCCUGUUCAAAGUCAAUAUGUAUUGUUAUCGGAGAGAGCACUAAAAUACACUUUCUUAAAUACCAGAAGUUUAAACACUGUGAACUUUAUUUUGGAAAAGUAAUGCACAAUAAUGCGGAGACGUGAAACUUGAUUUUUGCUAAAAAUGCGGAAACGUAAUACUCCCAUUAAGAGAUAGUUCAAUUUACUGCUCACUCAAAAGAGUUAUACAGUUACUGAACAAACGUACAACAAUGUUUUUAGUAAGUUUGGAAAACUUCAUGUGUGUUGUGUAUUUAUCAUCCAGAUUAUCUAUUGGCUUUGGCAUUAUAUGUGUAUAUAUACAAUUCUGUGUGGAGUUCAAGUGCAAUAUUUUCUAUGUCAUUCUUUUCUACACAGUAUUGUACACGUUUUUUCUUGUUAAUUAUGUAUAUUUAGUCUUUGUUAUUCUGGUAUAUUAAAUCUGUUUAAUUUGUCUUCAAUCACAUUGUCUUGUUCUGUUUGUUGAUAGAAUGUUUAUAUUUCAUGUCAUGCAUGAUCUACUAGUACUGCAUUUUAGUGAAUUUUUUGUGAUUAUGCUAGAUUUGCAGACUUUAAAAUAUGUGGCCAUUUUAUGGUAUUUCAGACAUUAACUGACCAUGUGGUAAUUUUAAUUAGAUGUGGACUUUCUUUGCAAAGUAAAUGUCUCUACUUUGGAAAAUUUCUUAAUUUUCUUAUAGUUAAUUUCUGUGGAGGAUCGAAACAGUUUCUUUGGGUUUUCCUAUUAAAAAUUUUGUUUGUUUGAAAUAAAGUGGGAGUUCCUAUUAAAAAUUUUGUUUGUUUGAAAUAAAGUGGGAGUUCACAUUUGUGAUUAGCUUUAUGUUUU